rnacentral:piRNA from 1 species
UUGAAAAAAUCGCAUUGUUUC